rnacentral:rRNA from 1 species
GUCCUAAGGUCUGAGAUACCUCGGGAACUGAGGCUAAACUCGGAUAGGAAAUUGAGGCUGGAAUGCACUUUUUCUUAAAUCUCCGGAGCCUAAGGAUGAGUCGGCGGCUGAUUAGGCAGUUGGCGAGGUAAUGGCUCACCAAACCUAUGAUCAGUAGGGGUCUUGAGAGAGAUAGCCCCGAGAAGGACACUGAGACAAGGGUCCUAGCCCUACGGGGUGCAGCAGGCGGGAAAACUUUACACUGCACGAAAGUGCGAUAAGGGUAUCCUGAGUGCUUACAUUUCGGUGUAAGCUUUUGCCAAGAGCAAAUAUCUUGGCGAAUAAGUGAUGGGCAAGACCGGUGCCAGCCGCCGCGGUAACCCCGGCGUCACAUGUGGGGGCCACAUUUAUUGGGUCUAAAGCAUCCGUAGCUGGCUUUGCAGAUUCUUUGUGAAAUUGUUAAUCUAAACUUAACAGCGCGCAAAGGACACCUGCGAAGCUCGGGACUGGGAGGAGUCAGAGGUAUUCCUGGGGAAGCGGUAAAAUGUUAUAAUCCUAGGAGGACCACCGAUGGCGAAGGCAUCUGACUAGAACAGGUCCGACAGUGAGGGAUGAAAGCUAGGGGAUCAAAACGGAUUAGAUACCCGAGUAGUCCUAGCUGUAAACUCUGCAAGUUAGGCGUUGCGCAAUUCUAGAGAUUGCGCAGUGUCGUAGUGAAGACGUUAAACUUGCCACCUGGGAAGUACGGCCGCAAGACUGAAACUUAAAGGAAUUGGCGGGGGAGCAC